AUACGUAGGGGGCGAGCGUUGUCCGGAAUGAUUGGGCGUAAAGGGCGCGUAGGCGGCCUGUUAAGUCUGGAGUGAAAGUCCUGUUUUCAAGAUGGGAAUUGCUUUGGAUACUGAUGGGCUUGAGUGCAGGAGAGGUUAUCGGAAUUCCCGGUGUAGCGGUGAAAUGCGUAGAGAUCGGGAGGAACACCAGUGGCGAAGGCGGGUAACUGGACUGCAACUGACGCUGAGGCGCGAAAGUGUGGGGAGCAAACAGGAUUAGAUACCCUGGUAGUCCACACUGUAAACGAUGAAUGCUAGGUGUAGGAGGUAUCGACCCCUUCUGUGCCGCAGUAAACACAGUAAGCAUUCCGCCUGGGGAGUACGGUCGCAAGAUUAAAACUCAAAUGAAUUGACGGGC
rnacentral:rRNA from 1 species